GGCUGUGCCCCAGAAUGCUUUGAGAGUCUACUGACUACUGAAUGUUAACAAUCGGUAUUAUUAAAGAACAAUUGAUGGCCUGUAACCAAACAACAGAAACUAAUUACUGGAAAACUUUUAUUGUACUUUAAUUACUGGGCCUCUUUCUCAAUUAGCAGGAGAGAGAGAGUGAGAGUGACUCAUUUUAUAGUCACAAUAAAUUUCCUCGAACUACAGUCAUCAGCUGCUGAAAAAAACAUACUGCUCCUGAUACUUUGUACUCCAAAGCAAAUUGGCCAAGAAUUUGCAAGUAAAACAAGAAGCAUCAACAGUGCCUUUGUGGUUGUUGUCGUUACUGCAGUCAUUUCCAAUUUAUGGUGACUUGUCACAGAAUUUUCUUGGCAAUAUUUAUUCAGAUGAGAUUUGCUAUUGCCUUUCUUUGAGACUGAGAGAGUGUGACUUGCCCAAGAUCAUCCACUAGGCUUCCAUGGCCAUGUCGGGAUUGUUACCCUGGUCUUCAGAGCCAUAGUCCAGAACCCGACUGACAACCAUCAUCCAGAGGACCUUUUCAUCGGCCGCCCCAAGACUGUGGAAGGACCUGCUGGAAGAGAUCCAACAGCUAAAUGAGUUAUCAAAAUUAAAAAACCGUCUAAAGACUUACUUUUCUGGCAGGCAUUCCCA
rnacentral:lncRNA from 11 species